rnacentral:rRNA from 1 species
UACAGAGGUCCCAAGCGUUGUUCGGAUUCAUUGGGCGUAAAGGGCGCGUAGGCGGUGCGGUAAGUCUUUUGUGAAAUCUCCGGGCUCAACUCGGAGUCUGCAGGAGAAACUGCCGUGCUUGAGUAUGGGAGAGGUGAGUGGAAUUCCUGGUGUAGCGGUGAAAAUGCGUAGAUAUCAGGAGGAACACCUGUGGCGAAAGCGGCUCACUGGACCAUUACUGACGCUGAUGACGCGAAAGCUAGGGGAGCAAACAGG